UGUAUACGCACGCACAUAUAACAGUUGCUGGUGAUUAAAUUUAUGUUGAAAGGUUUGGUUAUUAGAGGAAAUAUAGAUGUUGAACUUGUGAUUGUCAUGAAGUCUUGAUUUGUUCGAAUGCAUGGGUGCACGUCUGAGAGAAGGGGGAGACUACGUAUGGUUUCUCCUUUUUAUAGCUGCAUAUAAUUAAUAUGGUAUCGCACUUGACAUUUUAUCUUUGUCUUGCUGCCUGAAUAAUUGCAGAGUGAGAAUUAUAAAGAGAAAUACGUAUGAAUAAGGUAAAAUCCAAAACAAAAUCAGUGAAAAAAUUCAAUGCAUAUAUAUGUAUCUCAUGACAAUUGCUUCUUUUGAAAUACUUUCUUCACAUAUUAGAAUAUGA
rnacentral:misc_RNA from 1 species